AAUGAACGUUGGCGGCGUGGAUUAGGCAUGCAAGUCGCGCGAGAAGUUUCCUUCGGGAGACGGACAGCGGCGGAAGGGAGAGGAAUACGUAGAAAUCUGCCCUCGAGCCUGGGAUAGCGGCGGGAAACUGCCGGUAAUACCAGAUAAAGUCUUCGGACCAAAGGUGUGAUUCCGCUUGAGGAUGAGUCUACGUCCUAUUAGCUAGUUGGCGGGGUAAUGGCCCACCAAGGCAACGAUGGGUAGCGGGUGUGAGAGCACGAUCCGCCUCACUGGGACUGAGACACUGCCCAGACACCUACGGGUGGCUGCAGUCGAGAAUCUUCGGCAAUGGGGGAAACCCUGACCGAGCGACGCCGCGUGCGGGAUGAAGGCCCUCGGGUUGUAAACCGCUGUCGUAAGGGAACAAAUCCAUAGGGGUAC
rnacentral:rRNA from 1 species